GCCUCGGUAGCUCAGCCCGGUAGAGCGAGUGAUUCGUAAUCACUAGGUCGGGGGUUCAAAUCCCCCCCGGGGCU
rnacentral:tRNA from 1 species